rnacentral:pre_miRNA from 1 species
CAUGUUCUUUCUCCGUUCAACAAAAAAUGUCUUACGUUUGUCAAAAUUGGGAUGUAUCUAAACAGGAUUUAGUGUAUAGGUGCAGUCAAAUUUGAUCAAAGUUGAGACAUUCUUUGUUGGACGGAGGAAAUACUAG